rnacentral:rRNA from 1 species
UGGGGAAUAUUGCACAAUGGGCGCAAGCCUGAUGCAGCCAUGCCGCGUGUGUGAAGAAGGCCUUCGGGUUUUAAAGCACUUUCAGCGGGGAGGAAGGCGUUAAGGUUAAUAACCUUGGCGAUUGACGUUACCCGCAGAAGAAGCACCGGCUAAUUCCGUGCCAGCAGCCGCGGUAAUACGGAGGGUGCAAGCGUUAAUCGGAAUUACUGGGCGUAAAGCGCACGCAGGCGGUCGGUCAAGUCGGAUGUGAAAUCCCCGGGCUCAACCUGGGAACUGCAUUCGAAACUGGCAGGCUAGAGUCUUGUAGAGAGGGGUAGAAUUCCAGGUGUAGCGGUGAAAUGCGUAAAGAACUGGAGGUAUACCGGUGGCGAAGGCGGCCCCCUAGACAAAGACUGACACUCAGGUGCGAAAGCGUGGGGAGCAAACAGG